CUUUAUCUUUUAUUUUCAGUCGUUAUUUCACAUAUAGACGUUGGAACCAGCUGUGCCUUUGGUUUAGAAAGUGUCGUCAGGAUGAUGUCAAAAAGCCGAACAGUGACGAAACUGAAGAAGAAAAACAACCCUUUGAUCCACCUGAGGUUGUGGUGCCAUCACAAUCACAUUAAAGACAUGAGUGAAGUGGAUAAAUAAAACUAAGAAGGUUGGCUUUGAACACGACUUUUGGAGAAUCAAUGAAGGUCAAUCAAUCACACGGAAGAUUACGGACUGUCCAGCCUAGUGACGCUGGUUCAAGCGUAGGAGACUGCGCCCAUCCCCAGUAAUAUAGAUAUGAAUAAACGUUGUUAUCCAGGGACAGAGAUCAAAUUGGAACCCGUACGCCUAUGAAUGCAGUUUUACAAUUUAUCAAACCAGGGUUGGACAUGGCAGUCCUCUCAAGUAGCGGUCUUAUUGGCUGAUUUCUGGGAACAAUAUUUACCUUGUCGAAACUUUUCUUUGACUAUCCUCGUUUACAGAUACGAUUUGUAUUGGUAUAACUCGCGCGAGGGUUCGUUUUGAUUAAAGGGACAGUCCUGGGUUUGCUGCAAUCUUUAAGAUAUUGUCGACUAACAGAGACGUUUUAACGACUGUAAUUGCAUACAAUAUUAGUGGCUGUAUAUUAAACGUGUUUCUGAUCGUUCUAGUAUUUGUAAUGGGUUAAAUUUCA